UCCACGCCGUAAACGAUGAAUACUAGGUGUCGGGCGUCAAAACUCGGUGCCGCAGCUAACGCAUUAAGUAUUCCGCCUGGGGAGUACGCACGCAAGUGUGAAACUCAAAGGAAUUGACGGGGACCCGCACAAGCAGCGGAGCAUGUGGUUUAAUUCGAAGCAACGCGAAGAACCUUACCAGGUCUUGACAUCCUCUUGCAAGCGUCCUAGCCGACGCCCUCCUUCGGGACAAGAGAGACAGGUGGUGCAUGGUUGUCGUCAGCUCGUGUCGUGAGAUGUUGGGUUAAGUCCCGCAACGAG
rnacentral:rRNA from 1 species